rnacentral:rRNA from 1 species
GUAUGUGGCUUAAUUUGACUCAACGCGGAAAAGCUUAUCUGGUCCGGACACAGUGAGGAUUGACAGACAGUUGGCAGGAGUGGUUCUUGGUAAAAACAAAUGAGAGAGUUGAAGUUCUUUCAUGAUCUUGUGAGAGGUGGUGCAUGGCCGUUCUUAGUUCGUGUAGUGAUAUGUCUGCCUAAUCGCGUCACGAUAACCUAUUGGUCGACAACCCAAUUAUCACAACUGCAGCAUAACUCCCCUUGGGUGGGCGAGGCUCUGUGUAGGAUAGACCUCUGAACAGUACGCAACGAACGCGAUCGUAAUCCCUUGUUGAGUGGCCAUCCUGUAAGCUGCUGGAUUUGAAACCCAGUGGUAUUAUCUCAGCCACAGAUUUUCUGGUUGUAAUGGGCCAGUUUUGAAACUCGGGGAACAUCUGUGACUUUCUUUCUUAACGCAGAGGAAGGUUAUGGCAAUAACA